rnacentral:rRNA from 1 species
UCCGUAGGUGAACCUGCGGAGGGAUCAUUACACAAUAUGAAAGCGGGCUGGAUACUCUGUAGUAGUGCAUUGCUUUACGGCGUGCGCUGCUGGAGAGCCUAGCCUUGCUGAAUUAUUCACCCGUGUCUUUUGCGUACUUCUUGUUUCCUUGGUGGGCUCGCCCGCCACAAGGACAACUCAUAAACCUUUUGUAAUAGCAAUCAGCGUCAGUAACAACAUAAUAAUUACAACUUUCAACAACGGAUCUCUUGGUUCUGGCAUCGAUGAAGAACGCAGCGAAAUGCGAUAAGUAGUGUGAAUUGCAGAAUUCAGUGAAUCAUCGAAUCUUUGAACGCACAUUGCGCCCUUUGGUAUUCCUUAGGGCAUGCCUGUUCGAGCGUCAUCUAAACCUUCAAGCACUGCUUGGUGUUGGGUGCCUGUCCCGCCCCCGCGCGUGGACUCACCUCAAAUCCAUUGGCGGCCCUCACGUCGGCUUCGAGCGCAGCAGAAACGCGAACUCGUGGCUCGGCGGAGCGGGCUCCCAGGAAGGCUACUCCUCACCCAUUUUGGACCUCGGGAUCAGGGUAGGGGGAUACCCGGCUGGAACUUAAGGCAUAUCAAUAAGGCGGGGGA